UUUUUUUUUAGUAGAGACGGGGUUUCACCGUGUUAGCCAGGAUGGUCUCGAUAUCCCGACCUCGAUCCUCGGCCUCCCAAAGUGCUGGGAUUACAGGCUUGAGCCACCGCGCCCGGCCCACUAUAGUUUUUAAUAGGACUUUGGUUACCAGUUUUGUCCCCAUCUUGUAAGUUUCACCUUACCCAAGUACCCCAACAUGCUUGUUAGCUUCUGGUUUUGCAUACAGUGCACAUUCUGUGUCCUUGAUCUUCUGCUUUGCUUGGUGAGAUCCUUCAUCUUAAAUAACAGGACAAGUGUUAUCUAUUGUGUGUGGGUUGGUAUACACGUUUUUCUUCAUGAUUAGCAACUUAAGAUAUUCCGGACCAUUUGUAUGGCCUUUAACAAAAAAUCACCUUAUUACUGAAAUUUCACGGUGGCGGCAUGUGCUGCUGCUUGUUUACCAUUCAAUUUUUACAAGUGUUGUGACUCCUGGCGGAUGCCAGGUUCUUAAUGCUGUUAAGUCAUGAAUCUUCUUUGAGAACCAAGAAAGCUCUGCCCGGAAAAAUGUACAUGCAGUUUCAGAGAAUUCAUGGACUUCCUGAAAUUCAUCCUCUAACCACUGUUCCCCAAAUCAAACAUUUUACCUUAAAAAAAAAAAAAAAAAAGACCGAGUCACUUCCGCAAUAAUUUCCUCUUCACCGCACCUCUCAGCUUUGGGAAUAAAGCUAUGUCAAAAAGACUUGUCUGGGUGAACCCCUGCAAAUGGAAGUCAGCUGGACCUCAGUAAAAGCCCAGUGGGAAGGGGCGGGGACGAUUCUGGCGAUCACAUGAGAAAGGGAGCAGCCUCAGCGGGGCAGGUGGACACAGUCGUCAUCCACUCGCUGGCCGCCUGCGACGUGAAGCACCUGCGCUGGGCGCGGCGGGCAAGCGCUCAACACCUGCGCUGGGCGCCUCAACAGCCCAGCGGCGUCAGCGCUGCGGAGCAGGAAAGGGUCCCAAACGCAGGGCGGCCAUGCAGCGUCGCGCCCACCUGUCCCUCUCCCCGAAGCGCUGAGCCAGCACGAUGCACAGAAGGGAAGGAGGAAGGUGGCUUGAGAGCAGUAACCGACCGGACAGUGGAAGUCCAUUUCAGGAGCCCCGGGACCCGAGCUCGGACCCCUUUCCAAUCCCCCAGGCGUCUUUCCCACGUCCUUGUCUCCUAAUCCUGGGAAUCGACGGCCACUCCACUCUCCUGCAGUACCGCGGACAAGAACACCCAUUGUUUUUACUUGUUUAUAAUACGCUUCACAGGCAGGUGUCUUCUGAUGGACCCAACUCUGUUGGUACUCAUCUCCUCCAAAAAGUCCCCAAAUGCGCUAGCAGGCCUGCCAGCCCGGCAUCCGAGAGGUAAGAGCCC
rnacentral:lncRNA from 1 species